UGUGAGGGGCAUGUGAGGGCUGUCGCUGACUCAAAGUCGUGCACGCCCGAGUGUGUCCUCUCACAUAAUAAUCCAUCUCACCCUUUGUGCAUCGCCGCGUGGGCACCCUUUGGGAUCAUCUCGGAGGGGGCUCGCGUUUUCACACAAACCCCCCUUUUAAAAGUGUAGAAUGACCUCAUUUAUGCGCUAACACGCAAUCAAUACAACUUUCAACAACGGAUCUCUUGGCUCUCGCAUCGAUGAAGAACGCAGCGAAAUGCGAUACGUAAUGUGAAUUGCAGAAUUCAGUGAAUCAUCGAAUCUUUGAACGCACCUUGCGCCCCUUGGUAUUCCGAGGGGCACACCCGUUUGAGUGUCGUGAAAACCUCAACCUCCUUGGUUUCUUCUGGAGACCAAAGGCAGGCUUGGACUUUGGAGGCCUUUGCUGGAACCUCUCUCUUUUGAAGGCCAGCUCCUCUUAAACGAAUUAGCAGGGUCCUCUUUGCCGAUCCUCGACGUGUGAUAAGAUGUUUCCAUGUCUUGGUUUCUGGCUCUGUCACUUUUGGGACCCGCUUCUAACCGUCUUGACCUUGCAUCGAGACAAUGUUCGAGCAUGUCUCCCUUCUCGGGAAGCUCCCUCGACCCCACGAACCCUUGACCUCAAAUCGGGUGAGACUACCCGCUGAACUUAAGCAUAUCAAUAAGCGGAGGAAAAGAAACUAACAAGGAUUCCCCUAGUAACUGCGAGUGAAGCGGGAAAAGCUCAAAUUUAAAAUCUGGCGGUCUUUGGCCGUCCGAGUUGUAAUUUAGAGAAGCGUCUUCCGCGCUGGACCGUGUACAAA
rnacentral:rRNA from 1 species